rnacentral:lncRNA from 1 species
GAAACAAGACAGGCACAGUGUCAGCACACGGGCAAAACAAUGACAUUCGACAAUCAAUGCAGCAGCAGGGAACCGAGAGGGGGAACUGACAAAUAUAGGGGAGGUAAUAAACAGGUUAUUGAGUCCAGACAAAGUGCGCAGUUGGGUGCCAGACUGAUCCCCUUGUCAUGAACGGAUGCCGGAACCUACCAGAAGUAGCAAAGGUUUUACGUACUAGCCAAGCUGCUGGGAGAGCGCAAUGGUUCUCUUUUGAUAAGAUCUCACAAGUAACCUCCUCCGUUGUUGCCAGAGUCUCCCUCGACUCCUGUGAAAAGGACACGCCAUCAUGAGGCGUCUGAUAGUGACUCGAGUUACUUCUCUUUUGACACAUACGGCUUAAUCAACAACGACAGAUUCAUCUAUGGAGCCAGCACUUGGAGACUUACAAGAUGGAAAGGACUGUAGAUGCUUUUUCCAAGACUCCUUCCUCUGUUGUUUGAUGGGGAGACCAUUGGAAACAUGUAUGGCGCCAGCACGUGCAGACUUGCAAGAUAAUGUGAUGAAGUCCAGACUGACACACGGGCUUGAUGGUGAUGUCUCUGAAUGGAGAGAGACCUGGCACUCAGCAUUCAAAUUUAAGUAGAC